rnacentral:rRNA from 1 species
AUUGAACGCUGGCGGCAGGCCUAACACAUGCAAGUCGAGCGAGCGGCGGACGGGUGAGAAAUGUCUGGGAAACUGCCUGAUGGAGGGGGAUAACUACUGGAAACGGUAGCUAAUACAGCAUACCAUCGGAUUGGCCCAGAUGGGCUUAGCUAGUUGGUGGGGUAAAGGCUCACGUAGGCGACGAUCCCUAGCUGGUCUGAGAGGAUGACCAGCCACACUGGAACUGAGACACUGUACAGACUCCUACGGGAGGCAGCAGUGGUGAAUAUUGCACAAUGGGCGCAAGCCUGAUGCAGCCAUGCCGCGUGUAUGAAGAAGGCCUUCGGGUUGUAAAGGACUUUCAGCGGGGAGGCGUUACCCGCAGAAGAAGCACCGGCUAACUCCGUGCCAGCAGCCGCGGUAAUUC